CAAAAUAAAAUAUAAAAAAACCACAAAUUUAAUAUCCUACAACAAAAUAUAAAUAAUCCAAACCAUAUUCUAUGAUUAAAUAUACAGUCAUCCAAAUACCAAAUUACAAAUCCCUAAUAAUACAAAUAACAAUAAUUCAAAUUCAAAUUAUAAAGUAAGGUAAUUUCUUUAAUUCUCUCCAUUUUGUCUUUGUCACCUUGAAAAUAAAAAUCCUAAACCAAAAAGUAAAUAAAAUAUAAUUAACAUGCUACAAUUUUGAUAAUAGUCAUUGUAAAAUUUUAAAUAUUAAAUAUAUAGCAAAUUUACAAUACUAUUAAGAAAAUAAUAAUUAAAUCUAUAAAACCAAAAAAAUAGACAAGAUAAAUCUACAAAGCCGAAAAAAAUAGGCAACAUUUUAAGUACUCAUGAUGCAUAAUAUGCUUCUAGGUUUGGCCAACUGUUACUUGGGUGAAUUUCCAGUACGUCCCUCAUUUAUUAUCUGAGCAAGAAAUGAAAAAUUAACAUUGAUGGCUACUAAGUAGUGGAUCCUCAAAAGACAAAUCCAAAUCAAGAUGAAUAAAAGACAAACCCAAGCCAAAACGUAGCACUUGUUGGAUGCAAAAAUAAUAAAAAAGAGAAAAAGAAGUGGAGCUUACUGUGAUUUAUGCAAGAUGAUGACUGCUGCUGGACUGUUGGUUGAGAAAUUGUGAAAUCGUGGCUGAGUUGCUAAGAGAUGAAGGGAAAGAGAGUGUGAAAUGUGAGAUUAGGGCCAGCUGCUCUAAUUGCUAUUUCACUUUGCU
rnacentral:lncRNA from 1 species